CCUACGGGCGGCUGCAGUGGGGAAUAUUGCACAAUGGGGGAAACCCUGAUGCAGCGACGCCGCGUGAGCGAAGAAGUAUUUCGGUAUGUAAAGCUCUAUCAGCAGGGAAGAAGAAAUGACGGUACCUGACUAAGAAGCACCGGCUAAAUACGUGCCAGCAGCCGCGGUAAUACGUAUGGUGCAAGCGUUAUCCGGAUUUACUGGGUGUAAAGGGAGCGCAGGCGGAAGGCUAAGUCUGAUGUGAAAGCCCGGGGCUCAACCCCGGUACUGCAUUGGAAACUGGUCAUCUAGAGUGUCGGAGGGGUAAGUGGAAUUCCUAGUGUAGCGGUGAAAUGCGUAGAUAUUAGGAGGAACACCAGUGGCGAAGGCGGCUUACUGGACGAUAACUGACGCUGAGGCUCGAAAGCGUGGGGAGCAAACAGGAUUAGAUACCCCAGUAGUCCAU
rnacentral:rRNA from 1 species